rnacentral:lncRNA from 1 species
CUGAACUAUAAUCUCCAUUACAGUGAUGACAUAUUGAAGAGAAUGGCUGGACACCCUAGCCAGGUGGCUUCUCUGACUCCCUGCAACCAACCUAACCUUGAACCUGUCCAUCUGAAGGCAUGUUUGGGUCUGCAGAGUAGACUCACUCAACGAGGAUUUCUGCCGUGAACUAUUUCAGAAGGAAAAGGGAUUUUUUACUCAUAAGUUCAAAUAGAUGAAUUCCAUCCAGUCAAGAAAUAUGGACCAGUGGCUAUUACCUAUCAUUUUACCCCAUUCUCAGAUAAGCAAGAAAUGGACAUCCUGUGCCACGCAGAAUUUUGUUAGGAAGAUGCAAGCCUGUGAAGACAUUACUUCUGUAAUUUAACUGCCUGGGGUUUUUCUGCAGAAAAGGUUCAG